rnacentral:rRNA from 1 species
UACGGGGGGGGCAAGCGUUGUUCGGAAUUACUGGGCGUAAAGCGUGCGCAGGCGGUCUUUUAAGUCAGAUGUGAAAUCCCCGGGCUUAACCUGGGAACUGCGUUUGAAACUGGAAGGCUUGAGUGUGGCAGAGGGGGGUGGAAUUCCACGUGUAGCAGUGAAAUGCGUAGAGAUGUGGAGGAACACCGAUGGCGAAGGCAGCCCCCUGGGCUAACACUGACGCUCAUGCACGAAAGCGUGGGGAGCAAACAGG